AGCGAACGCUGGCGGUAGGCCUAACACAUGUAAGUCGAACGAACUCUUCGGAGUUAGUGGCGGACGGGUGAGUAACACGUGGGAACGUGCCCUUUGGUACGGAAUAACUCAGGGAAACUUGAGCUAAUACCGUAUGUGCCCUUCGGGGGAAAGAUUUAUCGCCAUUGGAGCGGCCCGCGUCUGAUUAGCUAGUUGGUGAGGUAACGGCUCACCAAGGCGACGAUCAGUAGCUGGUCUGAGAGGAUGACCAGCCACAUUGGGACUGAGACACGGCCCAAGCUCCUACGGGAGGCAGCAGUGGGGAAUCUUGCGCAAUGGGCGAAAGCCUGACGCAGCCAUGCCGCGUGGAUGAUGAAGGUCUUAGGAUUGUAAAAUCCUUUCACCGGUGAAGAUAAUGACUGUAGCCGGAGAGGAAGCCCCGGCUAACUUCGUGCCAGCCGCCGCCGUAAUAC
rnacentral:rRNA from 1 species